AACCUCCGCAAUGCGAGCAAUCGCGACGGGGGGACCCCAAGUGCCACUUUAACGGGGUGGCUUUUCUUAAGUGCUUUUGGAUAAGGGCUGGCAAGACCGGUGCCAGCCGCCGCGGUAAUACCGGCAGCUCAAGUGGUGGCCGUUUUUAUUGGGCCUAAAGCGUUCGUAGCCGGCCUGAUAAGUCUCUGGUGAAAUCCCAUAGCUUAACUGUGGGAAUGCUGGAGAUACUAUCAGGCUUGAGGUCGGGAGAGGUUGGGGGCACUCCCAGGGUAGGGGUGAAAUCCUAUAAUCUGGGGAGGACCACCUGUGGCGAAGGCGCCUAACUGGAACGACCUGACGGUGAGGGACGAAAGCUAGGGGGCAC
rnacentral:rRNA from 1 species